UCCAAAACCCAAUCGACACCUCCACUUAAUUUAAUCACCAGGGAAGGCAGCCGCCAGUUAGGUUUUGAGAGCAUAUUAGAUGGCGACCUCCUCGGCAGCUGCAGGAACAACGGAGAUGGAGCGGCAACCCGCAUCGACGACGGCAACCCCAGGGUACACGACGCCGACGCCAACACUAGCACGCACGAGCGGCCGCCACCAUCCACGACGAUGAGACACGGGGCCAUGGCGGCGCUUUUCGGCACAGGUACGAGGCCGACCCCAGCUUCUUCAAUCGACCAUGAUGGAGAGGGCGGCAGUCAAGAAAUCAACAGCCGACAUCAUUCCUCAAGUCUCAGACCAAACUUCAGGCCAUUCGACUCACACCCUCGGGACAGAGCUAUGUUAGCACUAAUUCUCCAACGUGUCUGCACCCCGAAACCUAAACGAGUGGAUAUAUUCUUCAGUUAUACACAUCCUAAAUGAGUUUACAUUAAAAGAUUCUUGGUCUGUAGAAAGUACAGAGAUGAUAUCCUGAAAAGUUCAGCAUCUUAAUAGGAGUACUGAAAGUCUAAACAUAUGCAAACACAUCUAUAUAAUAGGAGUACUGAAAGCCUAAACAUGCAAACACAUCUAUACAAUACGAGUUUACAUAUGUUUCAUUAACAGAAUUUAGACUGCUCAUAGUUCCAAAUAUAUAUGUCUCCCAGCAAACUAUGUCAUCCAACUGAUGAAACCAGCACCAAUACAAAUACAUAUUUCUUCUAGCAAACUAUGUCCUCUGCCAAUAAAUUUUAUUGCUUGUUCAUUAGUGUACUUAAAUAAAAGUACUCAGUUUCCCUUCAACUAUCAUCCAAGUAUGUAUGAAUGUGUUUUCCAGGGAAAAUACUACGAUGUCAUUGGGAGAAACAGAAUCUUGGACUCUAUAUUUUCGUCUCAUAGGAGCACCAUCUCCACAGGAUAUAGCUGAAAUUGAAUUAGAUAGGAAUGAACUCACGUUUGGGAACUUAUUAACAAUGAAAACACGUUUAGGUUACUCUGUGAGGGACUUCUUAUACUAUAAGGAAUGAAGAGGUAACAGUCUAGCAACACUUUGUGAAAUUGAAACAGAACUAGAUGCAAGUGGAAUGAUAACAAUGAAUGAUGAGGAGAGAGAAGUCAGAUUAGUAUUGAGCAGGGAUAGAAUAACUGAGUGAAAUGUAUCCAUAACUCCCAUGAAACUACCUCCGGGUACAGCAUUUUAUGAGGAUGAAUUCACAAAUGAGCCCCUUGAUGACUACAAGGACUGGCUUGCAGAAAUGCAUGUCGACAACGUAGGCCAUGAACUUUGUUAUACAUUUAGAGAAGACACAGUCAAAGCAUGAGAAUGGUAAUGUCUGGAAGGAAAACUCGAUGACAUCGGUAAUAUAAUAUCUCUCUCCAAGUUGUAAAUUAAUUUAAUAGUUCUUCAGAUACCAAUUUUAACGUAUGCUCUAUUAUUGUCGGAGGCAUAUGCAGAGCUCCCCAGCACUCAGUCAGGUCAAUCCAGCAAUCCAACAACACCAAUACAGCGCCCAAGUCAUGCUCGUCGUGAAAAGCAACUGGUGAACGAUGGGCGAUGUGGUAGUGAAAAGAGGAAGUUUAAAGGACGUGGGCCCAUCAAAGGUUUAAAUGUAUCUAACAAAAGAGCUAGGCAGGGCACUAUGAAACUGGAUGUUCAAAUCUCUAGACUGGGAGGACCUGUUGGUGGUAACCAAUGAUCUUUUGUUGAUGAAGUGGUAGUGUAUACAAGGAAAAGUGCUCCACUUAUUGGAGUGAGAAAGUGGAAAGACAUCGAUUUUGAAGUGAAAAAGAGGAUAGCAACUGAUGUAAUGGAAAAGUGGGACCUUGAUGAUACUUUGCAAAACAAAAAAAUGAUAUGGGCCAUCGCUAAUGAGCGCUACAAAGGAUGACGAUCAACAUUUUGUGCAACGUAUAGGGCUUACGACACUUAUGAUGAGAGAAUGCGACAUAAGCCCGAAGACCUACACAUUGUUGAAUGGCACUAUCUAGUAUUGUAUUUCGGCACAGAGGAAUUCCAGAAACUUAGCAAUAUGAAUUCUCAAAACCGUUCACUUGCACAAACAAAGCAUAUGAUGGGAUCAAAGCCUUUCGCUCAGUGCAGCUAUGAACUGAGAGACCCACAAACUGGUGAAGAACCAAAUGAUGUGGAUCUUUGGGUGAAAACACACAGUAAGGGAGGGAAAUGGACAAAUGAUGCAUCUAAGGCUGUCUAUGAAUCUGCUUGCAGCAAAAUUGCAGAGAAGGAAAAAGAGUCACCAAAUAGCUUUAUUCCUUUGGUAGAGAGAAACCUUAUUUUUCAGGAAGCAUACAAGCAAACUACUAGAGCUAAAUCAUCCAAGGUUCAUGGUAAUGGGUAUUUGGCAAGGUACCCAAGUAGAAGGCAGCUAAUGACUGAACGUUUUGAGGACCAAGCCUGUUCUGAAAUGGCAUCCCAUAUGGAAAAUGAAGAGCUGAAGGCUACACUCGAGACAAGAACAACUUCAAAGCCAAGUAUCUGAAAGGGAAGCCGAGAAGGAGGAACAUAGGCGUAAGAUGGAAGAAUUGCAGAAAGCAAGGGAGGCCAAUAAAGAACAACUUAGGCAAGAGUUUAUGUCAAUGCUAGCAGCACAAAGGCAAGGACCAACACCGCAGGUUAACCAAGCUGCCAUCGAAACAGCAGCCAACGAAACAACAGCUAAUGAAAUAGCGACGAACCAAACACCCCGAGUUGUUUGUGAACCAAUCUUGACUGAAAGGGAAGAAACAACAUAAGAGAAUGAAGGACAAUUAGAUCAGGUUAUUGUAGACUGAAAACUGAUUACAACCAUCAUGAAUUAGUACAUGGUGUGAGAGUCCUAAUAUUUUUCAUGAAAGUUUUGAGUUACAGAAUAACCUACAAAUGAAGCAGAAGGGACAACUCGUAGCUUCAACACCUGCAGGUAACAUUGUGCGCACCACCAGAGGCAGUCUUAACCGAAAUCAAUCACAAAACAAAGAAGGGAAUGCUGCACCAAAUUUCAUUACUUUAAAAAAUUUGUCGGAUGCUGUGGCAAAGAGACGAUCAACCAAAAAGAAUUGAAUGACGACAGAGUUUCAGUGUCGGGAUAGUCUAAAUCAGGCACAUGUAAGGCUAUGCAGGUGAGGCAGUGGAGUGUCAGGUGCAGGCUAAGGUGCUAUGUUGUGUGAGGCAAUAGGGAGUAAAUUAAUUUAGGCUAUGAAAAAUGCAAGUGAUGAAGCUAGAGUUUGAUGUGGAGCAAACAAGUGAUAUGAUCGCCUGCAGUGGUGUGUAGGCAUCUUAUAUGUUUUGGCUUAGGAACAAAUGUUUUGGAUAUCUUUGUUUCAAUAAUGUGUGUGUAAUCUGAGUUUGAAUUUGGAUUAUUUAUUUCUAGAUGUGAAAAAUUAAACAAGUUAAUAUUUUGGUUUAAUGGUUUUAUUCAUUUGGUUUGUUGAUGUC